UCCUCUGUGCAGGUUUGAGGCCUGAACCAGCCAUCGUAACAGCAAAAGUUUUGCUUGUGCUGGACCUCCAGUCAUAUGAUUUGACUGAUAACCUUCUGCCAUCAGCAGCAAUCACAACAUCAUCGCUCAGAUAAACAGCAUCCUGUUUAAUUGGAGAAACUUCCAGUGUCGACCGAGUUGAUGAUCUCUUCAAUUCCCCCUUCUUUAAAUGUCCUCGUGUACGCUCACGUGAAUGUGGGGGUAUUCACGAGGACACCCUUUGUCUUAUUCCGUC